GUAAUAUUUUUACAAAAUGUCAAGUUCGUCAAACUAGAACAAAGCUAAGUUCUGUUUGUGGGUGCGGGUGUGUGGGUGUAUACAUGUCAGACCUGGAUUUGCUGCGAGGCCAAGUAUCUGACUGCCCAUGGUAGUAUAAUGUUCAAGCAAAACUCCCAAAAUGAUGUAUAGAGCUGAAUACCUGGUCAGUUAUGCCAAGUUGGUUAAAUCUCCUUCCAUCUCAGUAGGGUUUCGCAUAUGGGAAAAAGCUCCAAAACCACAAAAAACCUGGCAUCCAGUCUUGUGUUUGUUAUUCCUCUGCAAAUAAUAAUUACAGGUUGCUCAUCUUUUUGAGUUCGUACCUUUCCAUAAAGCAAAAAAAGGAGAACUCUGAAAUAAGUAAGAAUCCAAGUGUAGCAAGCAAAACCAACAGCUCUAAGCAAUUAACUAAUCUGUUUGUUUAGCAUACAAUGACUAAUAUACCUGUGUGCAACUUUGGAAAUGGAGCUGGAGCAAGCAAAACAUAAUCUAGCCAACAAAGUGAGCGACCUGUAGCUGUCGAACACAUGGAAGAUUAGUCUAACAUGGUUCUCAUAAUACUUUAAUCUGGACAAGUUGUCAGAUCAAGAAACAGAAAUUUUGGAAAUGGCGACAAUUGAAAGUCCUCAACCAAUAAAGCUUGCAGCACAAGGAAAAGCAGAAUCUUAGCUAACACAAAAGAAAACUCUCAAAUUGAUGGCAUUCACUAUUAUGCUGACCCUCUGAAACAUAACUUGUUAAAACCUAGAAGCUCACGAUCUAUUGCAACCAUAACCAGCGUCAGCCAGGCCUAAGAAAUGUUUAUGCUGUACAAAGUUUACCCAUAAGAGAGUUUAGGAAAUAAUGAACAGAUUGCAUGUGUACCACGUAUGGAAUUUCUUAUAUAAAGCAAAUAAUGAAAAAAGCUGGUUCCCCAAACUUAGAACCACAGGGCGAUAUAACAAUGGACAGACCUAAAAAUGUUUGUAGAGAAUGAAUGAAUACCUGGCCAGACAUCCAUCAAAGGAUGAAAGCCAAGAAUGGGGGAAAAGUUGGCAGCAAAAUUAUCUUCAUCAAGGAAAUAAACUGCACUAAUCAGUAGUUUUGUUUGUUUAAAGUACCAGGAUGCAGGUGAGGUAUGAGAUCAAGAUGUUAAUGAAGGUACAGAAAACAAAUCCACACAAAAUUCCUAAAUAAUCAUAAUUAAGAAUACUUAUUCCACAAUCUGAAUUAUCAUUGCUUAGGUUGUAGAAAGAACAUAAGAAGGGAUGAAGCGACAAACCCCCCCCCCCCCAUUUGCUUGAA
rnacentral:lncRNA from 1 species